UGUUCCUCUCGUCUCUCUUUUUUUUUUUUUUUCCUCAUAGCUUGAUUUUGUUUUAUUAUUAUGUUGCAAAGGAAAAUUGAUUAGAUUUUUUUUUGCUGGAAUGUGAAGCAUAGUAGAAUAUUCAGGUGAUGAGAUUUGAUCUAAAAUUCUCACGACGGUCGUCUGAGACUAUGUGUCGAUUGAUGUACCGAUCGCUCUUCUCUGAUGAAUAUACUUUCUUCAUUAUCAAAUAUACUUUUUAGUUUUAAUAACCAUAAAUUUGUUGAUUCAUAUUUAUCUUCAGACAAAAGAGGUUCUUGUCCCUUUCGUUUCUGUUUAUCUUUGAUUGUCAUCUUCAGAUACAUACCAAAAGAGUUUCAGUGGUGAUCUCGUAUAAUUGAAGGAACUUUUGUAGAUGUCAAUAAUAAUUGCUGCUUUAUCUAGGCGCGAGUAGUAGUGAAGAAGGCAGUAAAAGCUGUACAGUGUAAUGAUUUUGAUAUUAUUAAUUAUUUUUAAUUAAAGGAAGGGCAAUUGGUGAAGAAGGCUUACGGAAACUAAGCAACUGUUUGGGAUUGGGAUAAAAAAGAUUCAAAAGGGUGAUGAAGCUUUGUUUGAAUUCAUUACAGAUAGACUUUUACGUCAUUGAAAUCAAUAGCUGUUUUGUGUUUUAUGUUGUUUCAUUCAACCCCACAUCUUAUUCUGUAGUCCCUUGUUGGUUCAUUGUGAGCAGAUCUAAUAGUUUAACAACAUAAAUUA